rnacentral:rRNA from 1 species
CUACGGGUGGCUGCAGUGAGGAAUUUUGCGCAAUGGGGGAAACCCUGACGCAGCAACGCCGCGUGAGCGAAGAAGGCCCUCGGGUCGUAAAGCUCUGUCAAGUGGGAAAAAAAUCGUUUGAUGAAUAGUCAAGAGACUUGAUGGUACCACUGGAGGAAGCACCGGCUAACUCCGUGCCAGCAGCCGCGGUAAUACGGAGGGUGCAAGCGUUGUUCGGAAUUACUGGGCGUAAAGAGCGUGUAGGCGGUUUGACAAGUCAGAUGUGAAAGCCCUGGGCUCAACCUGGGAAGUGCAUUUGAACUGUUUGGCUUGAGUAUGGGAGAGGGGAUUGGAAUUCCUGGUGUAGCGGUGAAAUUCGUAGAUAUCAGGAGGAACACCCGUGGCGAAGGCGACUCUCUGGACCAAUACUGACGCUGAGACGCGAAAGCGUGGGGAGCAAACAGGAUUAGAUACCCCCGUAGUC